rnacentral:rRNA from 1 species
UACGGGGGGGGGCAAGCGUUGUUCGGAAUUACUGGGCGUAAAGGGCUCGUAGGCGGCCAACUAAGUCAGACGUGAAAUCCCUCGGCUUAACCGGGGAACUGCGUCUGAUACUGGAUGGCUUGAAUCCGGGAGAGGGAUGCGGAAUUCCAGGUGUAGCGGUGAAAAUGCGUAGAUAUCUGGAGGAACACCGGUGGCGAAGGCGACAUCCUGGACCGGUAUUGACGCUGAGUGAGCGAAAGCCAGGGGGAGCAAACGGG